GAUGAACGCUGGCGGCGUGCUUAACACAUGCAAGUCGAACGAUGAAGCCCAGCUUGCUGGGUGGAUUAGUGGCGAACGGGUGAGUAACACGUGAGUAACCUGCCCUUAACUCUGGGAUAAGCCUGGGAAACUGGGUCUAAUACCGGAUAGGAGCGCCUACCGCAUGGUGGGUGUUGGAAAGAUUUAUCGGUUUUGGAUGGACUCGCGGCCUAUCAGCUUGUUGGUGAGGUAAUGGCUCACCAAGGCGACGACGGGUAGCCGGCCUGAGAGGGUGACCGGCCACACUGGGACUGAGACAAGGCCCAGACUCCUACGGGAGGCAGCAGUGGGGAAUAUUGCACAAUGGGCGAAAGCCUGAUGCAGCGACGCCGCGUGAGGGAUGACGGCCUUCGGGUUGUAAACCUCUUUCAGUAGGGAAGAAGCGAAAGUGCCGGUACCUGCAGAAGAAGCACCGGCUAACUACGUG
rnacentral:rRNA from 1 species